UUAAUUAUUUUACUAGAUAUGUAAUCCUCAAAUUAACGGUUGUUACUUUUAUAUACGGAAUCAUUUGCGGUCUGCUGAUUUUAAAUAGUUACGAUAUUUCCUGGCAUAUUUAUAAUUCUCCAUGGAUAAAUGCAUCCCGAAAUAAACGUCAAACAAUUUUUAUGGUCAUUCAACGGUGUCAGAAACCAGUUAUACUUAGCGGCACUCCUUGUAUACCUAUUGUUUCAAUAAGAUUUUGUGGAUCGGUUCUCUGUGCUACGGUUUCAUAUUUCAUGGCAUUGCGAAUGAUACUUGGACGUAAAAUAGAUUAGUAACAUUUUAUAUACGUAAGUCAUUGACAGUUUGUAAUUAUCUUAAC